GACGAACCGUGCAAACGUUGCUCGGAAUCACUGGGCGUAAAGGGUGCGUAGGCGGGUUUUUAAGUCAGGGGUGAAAUCCUGGAGCUCAACUCCAGAACUGCCUUUGAUACUGGCGAUCUCGAGUCCGGGAGAGGUGAGUGGAACUGCGAGUGUAGAGGUGAAAUUCGUAGAUAUUCGCAAGAACACCAGUGGCGAAGGCGGCUCACUGGCCCGGUACUGACGCUGAGGUGCGAAAGCGUGGGGAGCAAACAGG
rnacentral:rRNA from 1 species